UACGAAGGGGGCUAGCGUUGCUCGGAAUCACUGGGCGUAAAGAGCGCGCAGGCGGUCGAUCAAGUCGAGUGUGAAAGCCCCCGGCUCAACUGGGGAGGGUCAUUCGAAACUGAUCGACUUGAAGGCAGGAGAGGGUAGUGGAAUUCCCGGUGUAGUGGUGAAAUGCGUAGAUAUCGUGAGGAACACCAGAGGCGAAGGCGGCUUCCUGGACAAUUGCUGACGCUCAGGCACGAAAGCGUGGGGAGCAAAAGGG
rnacentral:rRNA from 1 species